rfam:Clostridiales bacterium 41_21_two_genomes Ley3_66761_scaffold_3576, whole genome shotgun sequence.
UGAUACUAGGGUCAAAAGACCCGCAAAAACAUGAGGAUGCAGCGAUUUUCAAAGAAAAUCAGCGAAUCCGAAUGUUUUUAGAAUUGCGAAAGUUGCAUAGCAACGGAGCAAUUCGUUGGUAUCA